CAGCCGCCGCGGUAAUACAGAGGGUGCGAGCGUUAAUCGGAUUUACUGGGCGUAAAGCGUGCGUAGGCGGCUUCUUAAGUCGGAUGUGAAAUCCCUGAGCUUAACUUAGGAAUUGCAUUCGAUACUGGGAAGCUAGAGUAUGGGAGAGGAUGGUAGAAUUCCAGGUGUAGCGGUGAAAUGCGUAGAGAUCUGGAGGAAUACCGAUGGCGAAGGCAGCCAUCUGGCCUAAUACUUACGCUGAGGUACGAAAGCAUGGGGAGCAAACAGGAUUAGAUACCCCUUAGUCCCUGUCUCUUAUACA
rnacentral:rRNA from 1 species